CUGUGUUUCAGUCAGAAGCUCCAACUCAAUAUUGGAGCCAAUAGAAUUUAAACAGGUAUCCAUUUCUCUUACACAAAGCUCAUGUAAACAGCCAAGCCCGUUUUCUGGGGAACCUGUCUGUGAUCCAAGUAUGAGGGCAUCAUCAAAACCUGAAUGUGCAACAUCAAUGACGAAGCACAUUUCUACUGACUUAUGGAAACGAUCUGUUUGCAUCCCUAGUUCAGUACCUUGUGGGGACUCAGAAGCAGUGCUGCAACAUAAACGUAGGCUAAAAGCAAAGUUUCAGUUCAUUUCCAAUGAUGUUUUGAGACAAGAUCAUGCAGCAUCCCUGAACGAUGUUUACACAGAGCUCUACAUCAUAGAGAGUGACCGCAGUAACGUUAACAAUGAGCAUGAAGUGAGACAGAUUGAAAUAAUAUCCAGA
ensembl:lncRNA